AUAUAGGUAUUCGAGUAUAUG
rnacentral:siRNA from 1 species